GUCUAUGGUCUAUGGCCAUGAACACGCCUGAUGUCUGAUCUCGAAAGCUAAGCAGAGUUGGGCCUGGUUAAUACUUGGAUAGGAGACCACCUAGGAAGACCAGGUGCUGUAGGCA
rnacentral:rRNA from 1 species